UCUCCAUGGGGUGGUGGGUCUCUAUGGGGUGGUGGUCUCCAUGGGGUGGUGGAUCUCCAUGGGGUGGUGGUCUCCAUGGGGUGGUGGAUCUCUAUGGGGUGGUGGUCUCCAUGGGGUGGUGGAUCUCUAUGGGGUGGUGG
rnacentral:lncRNA from 1 species